UACGGAGGGUGCAAGCGUUAAUCGGAAUUACUGGGCGUAAAGGGUGCGUAGGUGGUUAAGUAAGUUAUCUGUGAAAUCCCUGGGCUCAACCUGGGCAGGUCAGAUAAAACUGUUUAACUCGAGUAUGGGAGAGGGUAGUGGAAUUUCCGGUGUAGCGGUGAAAUGCGUAGAGAUCGGAAGGAACAUCAGUGGCGAAGGCGGCUACCUUGCCCAAUACUGACACUGAGGCACGAAAGCGUGGGGAGCAAACAGG
rnacentral:rRNA from 1 species